GCGAGUGAAGCGGGAAAAGCUCAAAUUUAAAAUCUGGCGGUCUUCGGCCGUCCGAGUUGUAAUCUGGAGAAGCGUUUUCCGCGCUGGACCGUGUACAAGUCUCUUGGAACAGAGCGUCAUAGAGGGUGAGAAUCCCGUCUUUGACACGGACUACCAGUGCUAUGUGAUGCGCUCUCGAUGAGUCGAGUUGUUUGGGAAUGCAGCUCAAAAUGGGUGGUAAAUUCCAUCUAAAGCUAAAUAUUGGCGAGAGACCGAUAGCGAACAAGUACCGUGAGGGAAAGAUGAAAAGCACUUUGGAAAGAGAGUUAAACAGUACGUGAAAUUGCUGAAAGGGAAACGAUUGAAGUCAGUCGCGUGUGCUAGAACUCAGCCUUGCUUUUGCUUGGUGCAUUUUCUAGUGUACGGGCCAGCAUCAGUUUUGGCCGCCGGAAAAAGGCCUUGGGAAUGUGGCACCUUCGGGUGUGUUAUAGCCCUUGGUUGUAUACGGUGGCUGGGACUGAGGAACAUAGCAUGCCUUUACGGCGGGGCUUCGGCCACCUUCAUGCUUUGGAUGCUGGCGUAAUGGCUUUAAACGAC
rnacentral:rRNA from 1 species